GAUUAGCUAAUACCGAAUAAUAACAUCAAUAUCGCAUGAGAAGAUGUAGAAAGUCGCGUUUGCGACGCUUUUGGAUGGGGGGUGCGACGUAUCAGAUAGUUGGUGAGGUAAAUGGGCUCACCAAGUCAAUGACGCGUAGCUGUACUGAGAGGUAGAACAGCCACAAUGGGGACUGAGACACGGCCCAUACUCCUACGGGAGGCAGCAGUAGGGAAUUUUUCACAAUGGGCGAAAGCCUUAUGAAGCAAUGCCGCGUGAACGAUGAAGGUCUUAUAGAUUGUAAAGUUCUUUUAUAUGGGAAGAAACGCUAAGAUAGGAAAUGAUUUUAGUUUGACUGUACCAUUUGAAUAAGUAUCGGCUAACUAUGUGCCAGCAGCCGCGGUAAAU
rnacentral:rRNA from 1 species